GUGACAGCUAGGUGGAUGGGGAAAAUAGGGAGAGACAAACCAAUAACAGGUCUGGAACAUGUCAGGUGACGAUCAAAUGUGUCAACUUUGUUUCUUUUGUUUGUUUGAAUGCUCAGAGCUACACUCAUUCCACUUUACGGAACCUUUGUACUUUCUUUCUUCUUUCCGAUCAAAUAUCCAUCUUACUUUCCGCCUUCUCAUUUCUAAGGAAUACCAUCAACCUGCGAGAUGCCCUCCUAUGUCUUUAUGCUGCAUAAUUUAUAUAAACU
rnacentral:lncRNA from 1 species